UACGAAGGGGGCUAGCGUUGUUCGGAAUCACUGGGCGUAAAGGGCGCGUAGGCGGCCGAUCAAGUCGGGGGUGAAAGCCUGUGGCUCAACCACAGAAUUGCCUUCGAUACUGUUUGGCUUGAGACCGGAAGAGGUUGGUGGAACUGCGAGUGUAGAGGUGAAAUUCGUAGAUAUUCGCAAGAACACCAGUGGCGAAGGCGGCUGACUGGUCCGGUUCUGACGCUGAGGCGCGAAAGCGUGGGGAGCAAACAGG
rnacentral:rRNA from 1 species